UAUGUUUAUGCAUCUGCAUGUACGGUGGGGAGAGCGGGUGUUUGGUGCACUGCCGAUUUUGCAGGUUUUCCUGCUUGCAGGGCAUGUGGAGGUCUGUGGUUUUUGUCAUGGGUGCACUUCGACUGUGGGAGACGG